rnacentral:rRNA from 1 species
UACAGAGGGGGCAAGCGUUGUUCGGAAUUACUGGGCGUAAAGGGCGCGUAGGCGGCCUGCUAAGUCGAACGUGAAAUCCCUGGGCUCAACCCAGGAACUGCGUCCGAUACUGGUUGGCUUGAAUCCGGGAGAGGGAUGCGGAAUUCCAGGUGUAGCGGUGAAAUGCGUAGAUAUCUGGAGGAAUACCGGUGGCGAAGGCGACAUCCUGGACCGGUAUUGACGCUGAGGCGCGAAAGCCAGGGGAGCAAACGGG